AUUGAACGCUGGCGGCAGGCCUAACACAUGCAAGUCGAGCGGAUGAUGAGGGCUUGCUCUCUGAUUCAGCGGCGGACGGGUGAGUAAUGCCUAGGAAUCUGCCUGGUAGUGGGGGACAACGUUUCGAAAGGAACGCUAAUACCGCAUACGUCCUACGGGAGAAAGUGGGGGAUCUUCGGACCUCACGCUAUCAGAUGAGCCUAGGUACGAUUAGCUAGUUGGUGAGGUAAAGGCUCACCAAGGCGACGAUCGUUAACUGGUCUGAGAGGAUGAUCAGUCACACUGGAACUGAGACACGGUCCAGACUCCUACGGGAGGCAGCAGUGGGGAAUAUUGGACAAUGGGCGAAAGCCUGAUCCAGCCAUGCCGCGUGUGUGAAGAAGGUCUUCGGAUUGUAAAGCACUUUAAGUUGGGAGGAAGGGCAGUAAGUUAAUACCUUGCUGUUUUGACGUUACCGACAGAAUAAGCACCGGCUAACUUCGUGCCAGCAGCCGCGGUAAAAC
rnacentral:rRNA from 1 species